UGAAGGUUCAAGGAAGACGACAACGUAGACCCUGUUCACAACAUACGGAAUCCCACUAUCGUUCCCUUUGCAGGAUUUCAAAACUCUUUUGUAAAAAACAUGUAACUGACAAUAAAGGGUUACAGCUUUUCGGAAAAGGCACAUGGAAAUGUCGUCUCUUCAGUUUUGGAUGAUCUAUGGAAUCAAGCUCUGAUCUUCGGUACAAAAAUAAAAAAUUCGGUGGGGAAUCGUCGUUAGAUUUGUUGAAAUAAGAUUCCAAAACAUGCAUUACACUAACAUGCAUUGAAGCUUUGAAUGAAUUAGGCAUUUGGGAGGCCCAACAACAUUUAGGUCGACAGACUCGACGCAAUGGAAAGUAGAGCUGAUCUUUGGUCCAGUCUUCAGAAUCCACCUUAUCUAUUUUUCUACCAAGUAAUUAUUACUAUUUGAAUGACGACGAGCAGUGAACAUGGCGGCAUGAUUACAGUUUGACACGUUGAGAAGCAUCACAAUGCUUAUUAUCCUCUGCCUUAGGCACGCAUUAAUCAGUAAUGUGGAAAUGGAAGCAUCCGUUAGCAAAAUAGUCAGCCAGUUUUCAAGCAGAAUCCGAAGAGCCUUUCACAAUCCACUGUGGGCAGUGCAGUGGGUAUCCUGGAAUAGGUUAUUACAAAUCACCAGACGGAUUACAUAUAGAAGGAUGGCUAUCAGAAAAGAAAAGUAACAUAUUCAGGCUAAUUGUCUGUGGAGAUGAGCUUGGAGACAGUUCACAUUAUUGGAUUAAAUACACAUUUCAUUCAGUGUGCUCCUGGUUCCCAUCAUCUUUUACAACUAUAAUAACACAAAACAAUCACUGACGAUACCCUUCAGGAAGAGGAACAACUCUGUGGAAGGGCACAGACCGCUGAGGCAAAGAUCCAUCUUCUUCAUCAUCAUCAAAUUCCAAAAUGUAACUAUGACAGCCAAUGGAAGAGACGUAAAUAAAAAG